rnacentral:rRNA from 1 species
UACGUAGGUGGCAAGCGUUGUCCGGAAUUAUUGGGCGUAAAGCGCGCGUAGGCGGCCCGGUAAGUCCGCUGUAAAAGUCAAAGGCUCAACCUUUGAAUGUCAGUGGAUACUGCCGGGCUAGAGUCCGGAAGAGGCGAGUGGAACUCCUGGUGUAGCGGUGGAAUGCGCAGAUAUCAGGAAGAACACCGACGGCGAAGGCAGCUCGCUGGGACGGUACUGACGCUGAGGCGCGAAAGCGUGGGGAGCGAACAGG